rnacentral:rRNA from 1 species
UACGAAGGGGGCUAGCGUUGUUCGGAUUUACUGGGCGUAAAGCGCACGUAGGCGGAUCGAUCAGUCAGGGGUGAAAGCCCAGAGCUCAACUCUGGAACUGCCCCUUGAAAACUGUAUGGCUUGAGUAUGAGAGAGGUGAGUGGAAUUCCCAGUGUAGAGGUGAAAUUCGUAGAUAUUGGGAAGAACACCAGUGGCGAAGGCGGCUCACUGGCUCAUUACUGACGCUCAGGCGCGACAGCGUGGGGGAUCAAACAGG